rfam:Tannerella sp. CAG:51 genomic scaffold, scf354
UUAUCUUUGUCCCCGUAUCGGUUCGAGAUGCCUGCAACAGGAUAUCGAUGAAAAGGGAAUCCCGUGAAAGUCGGGAACAGUCCCGCUGCUGUAAUUCUCCUAUAUUUGCGGUAAACUACCCCCUGCCACUGAAUAGAAUUAUUCGGGAAGGCGUUUACCCACAGAGAUAAGUCAGAAGACCUGCCAUACACACAAAAUGCCG